rnacentral:rRNA from 1 species
UCUCAGACCGGGAUAACAUAGGGAAACUUAUGCUAAUACCGGAUAGGUUUUCGGAUCGCAUGAUUCGAAAAGAAAAGGCGGCUUCGGCUGUCACUGGGAGAUGGGCCUGCGGCGCAUUAGCUAGUUGGUGGGGUAACGGCCUACCAAGGCGACGAUGCGUAGCCGACCUGAGAGGGUGACCGGCCACACUGGGACUGAGACACGGCCCAGACUCCUACGGGAGGCAGCAGUAGGGAAUUUUCCACAAUGGACGAAAGUCUGAUGGGAGCAACGCCGCCGUGAACGAUGAAGGUCUUCGGAUUGUAAAGUUCUGUUGUUAGGGACGAAUAAGUACCGUUCGAAUAGGGCGGUACCUUGACGGUACCUGACGAGAAAGCCACGGCUAACUACGUGCCAGCAGCCGCGGUAAUACGUAGGUGGCAAGCGUUGUCCGGAUUUAUUGGGCGUAAAGCGCGCGCAGGCGGCUAUGUAAGUCUGGUGUUAAAGCCCGGGGCUCAACCCCGGUUCGCAUCGGAAACUGUGUAGCUUGAGUGCAGAAGAGGAAAGCGGUAUUCCACGUGUAGCGGUGAAAUGCGUAGAGAUGUGGAGGAACACCAGUGGCGAAGGCGGCUUUCUGGUCUGUAACUGACGCUGAAGCGCGAAAGCGUGGGGGAGCAAACAGGAUUAGAUACCCCUGGUAGUC